AUUCAGCACUUGCCAGCUAACUGCAGCUAAGCAUCUCACACCUGGGUUUAAUAGAUGGUUCAUUUCCUUUUGAGAUGGAAAACGCCAUGAGAUAUGUCCAGCUGUAUGUCAUCCUCCUGGAUUUGCAAUUCACAUUUGUAAAGGGUGCAGCUUCUGCAGGCCUGUGGGGGAGGAAGGUGGUCCUGCAACAUGCAAGCUGCCAGUACUGGAGUCUCAGGCCUGAGCACCCACUGCCUGCUCUGCAGGAGUUCAGCGUGUGCGUGAAUGUCCAGAGGAGCAUUAAUAACUCUGCCUGGACGGCAUUUAUGUACCGCCAC